UCUUAAUUUGAAUUAUUCUAUAUUUGCAGUUAUCAACAUAUUGCAGACGAAGAAAUCCAUGAGCAUUCUCGUUUUAUUUUAAUGCCUGAGGCUGAUUACGGAAAUUCUUGUACUUUUAUCGUUGUCAUUUAGAAAGAAACAAUUUAACUAUACCCUAGGUAUAGCUAAUAAUAAUAAUAAAACGAUUAAUUAACACAAUUUAUACUGACUUAUUGUAUUUCGAUGUAGAGUUCUAUUUAGAUGGAUAUCGAAAUUUCAAUCAUCUGAAUAGCAUCCGGCUACUGAGAGAAUUAGAUACGUUCCUGCAUUAAACGCAUCCUGGUGGUAAAUUUUGAAAUUAAAAUUUGAAAUUGCACCAUUUCGCGCGAUGUCAUACUGAGAAGAGGAAGCAACUGUCGAGAGCUCGUCAUAAAUGUGGAAAAUUUAAUAUACAAAACCAAGUCAUUCCUUCAAGAUAGCGAGAAUCUUAAUUUCAUACAUUUUACAUUCAUAAUCUAAUACAAUUUAUAGUGAUUUGUAAUUUUUUUUAAUGUGAAUAGAUGUUUAUUGCUUUUCAAUCAAAGUUACAUCGAGAAGUACAAACCAUUAUUGGAGUGAAAUUCUUUUCCUUUUCAUUGCCCUCGAUUUUUUUCUUUCCUUCUUUUCUCUUGAUAAUCUUUUUUACUUUCUUUUCCUUUUUUUUUCAUAUAUUAUUACCAGAAGAAAUAUAGUUUGAUAAUAAUCGUUCGAUUUUACGUUAAUAAUAAUUAUGCGAUAUUUUAUCUCAAUUUUGCCGUAAAGUUUUAUAUUUCAUUAUCUUAAAUUGUUCGAACAAUCAUUACUCCUUUCAAAACAAAUUAUAAUAAUUCACAUUUUGUUAAAGGUAUUUGACUGCUUCCACUUUUUUUGCUCCUCGAAAAGGACCUAAUGGUGCUUGAAAAGUCAAGAAUGUUUCUUCCAACCUCCAUCUCUUUCAUUGAAUUCGACGAUUUCGAUUUGAUGAGAAUUUCUCUUAAGAUGACUUAAUGAGAAUUUCUCUUGGGCAACAGUAUCGAUAACAACGUUGUUCGUAUGUAAUCAUACUCACUCAUGUGCCUAGGUUCUAAUCGGAUGGGAGAAAAGCAAUGGACACGAUGACUAGUUUAGCUUCUUCAGAAAUAAAAUUGAUCUUUUCAUAUUAUUUUAAUAAAUAAUCAUUUCUCAUAAAAUUGGCAAAUUGUAAAAUGUUCGGAAAUGAUAAAUACGAGAGGCAAAGAAAAAAAUAGUUGCGUUGUCUUAUCCUAUGGACUGUUUGCAAUGUGUGGAAUGUAAAGAAUCGGAAGCUCGUUUUGCCUCAUCCACCAGAUGAAGUCUUCGAUGUGGUAAGAUUAAAAGCUUUGACAUUACUGUGCUAUUUAAGUGGGACAAAUAAAUUUAUUAUUAUUAAAAUUGUUUAUCGUAAGAUGAUAUUUUAUACCGUGCAUCAACUUUGCUGGUUAAAAUAUUGAUUCAUGUAACAAAUUUGUAAGAUCUAUUUAAUAAAUGGUAUAUAUGUAUAUCUACCAUUUUAUUCUAUUAUCUUUUGUAAAUGAAUUAAGUAACUACUAACACUAUUACUUAUUUCACCACUUCAAUAUUUUUGUUUUUUUAAAAUAAAUUUUCUUCUAUAAUAAUAGAUAUAAUAUUGAUAUAUUCUGAUCAUAUUAAUAUGUGAUACUAAAUUAGAUUAAAUUUUGGAAACAUAAUCUUUUUAGUUUGAUUCUCUUGUAAAAAAAUUUCCAUAAAGUUAUAUUUUUUGUAUAUUCCUCAAAUUAAACGAAUUCCUCAAAUUUAACGAUCACUUGUUGGGAAAAGCUUUCAAACUAUAGAAGUGGUUAAUAUGCAUGUAUGUAUAUUAUAAUAUUGUAUGUAUUUAUUUAUUUUAGUCUAGAAAUUGAACUUGGUUUUACAUAAAUUAUGAACAUAAAUCACAACUAAGAUAUACAGAGUAAAUUAAAAUAUUAAUACCACAGAAAGUCCAAUAAUUUCAAAUAUCGUAAACUUGAAAGAAACUGUAUUAAUUGAAGGAGCUGUAAUUUAAUUUAUAUUGUAACAAACGAUUUUUUUAUUAAACACUCAUAACGCUCGCUUUUCUUCAUUGCUGUGAUUAAGUGAUGCGGUUUAUUUAUCGAUUUAAAAUUAUAAAUAUCUUACGGCUAUUAGAGAGUAUAUCAUGAUACUCAAUCAUAUCAUCAAAUCAUCAAUUAAAUCAUAUCAUACUACAACACAAUAAAAACAUUAUUUAUUAUGUAAGAUUAUAUAUGAUAAUACUGGUAUAAAUGUAAUGAAUGUACACAUAUAGUAAAUAUAUAUACUGGAAUAUAGUGACGGAAAUUUUGCAAAAAAAUAUUUAUAUUUUUUGAAAAUGUCUAUUCCAAGCUAACUAUGAAGAGCUCAUUUUUGGGUAACAAAUAUCCAUUUGUAAUGAAGUAUUGUUCUAUGAAUUUCUGUGGUCUCUUUCUGUCACGCCAAAAAAACUCUGCUCUGUAAUAGAGUCGUAGAGCUCUUUGGGAGAACUUUCCAUGUGAGGUAAGGCUACUUCAUUCAUCUUUGUUAACCUAUGGUAACAAGGUAUGUCAUUAGUUCCUGUUUCAUUAUCAGAUAAUAACGAGUAACAUAGAACACAAUGUACAAAUAUAAAUACGUACAAAUCCGAAAAUUCUAUUAGAGCAAGAAUAUAUCGUAAUAUGUAUCUCUGUGUUUGUAAAUAAUAAUAAAUGAUAAUUGUUAUUAAUGUAUAAGGUGCUUCUAUCUUAUAUUUUAUCAGAGAAAGUAUUUUAUUAAUCAAUUUUGUUUGAUUUAUGCGUGCUUCUAAUUAGAUUUUGUCGUGGUGUAUCCAGUUCUAUAUAAAUUGUUCUAAAUAAAUUGAAAAUUUUAGGGUAAUUUGAUAAUUAUGUAAUAUAAUAAUGUUCCAUUUCUUACAGGAAGGCAAUCUUAAAAUUCAGUACAUUGUUAAUUCAGUAUAUAGUAUGAGACUAUCCUUUUAUUUGGCGCUAAACACGUAUUCUUUCACCCUUCUCAUAACUUUAAAGAUAUUGCUCGUCAGAAUAUUAAAAUAUUAUUUGUUUUAAGUUAUAUUACAUAUUUGACUUCUAAAAAACUUCUUUAAUCAUAUCUUUGGACCUGACAAGUUCUUCCCACUUUUAAUUAUUUUAUGUUAAAAUAUGCUGCAUGAAUCUUUUUAACAUAAUUUACAGAAAUAUAUUUAUUAUAUUCUUUGCUUCUGACCUGUAAGAUAUAGUAAUUUAUGCAAUGAAUUUCACAAAGACAACGCACGAUGUACGACAACGUGUUAUAUGCACGAAGGAUUGCGACCUGUACUUCGAACACAACACCCAUUUGCAAUCUACGAGAACAUCACGUGUAAUACAACGGGUUCAGUUUAUAUUUGAAAGAGCCACGAAAUCGAACCACCCUUGAUACUCGUGGAACCUGGUUCCAGCGUAUCCGGUUACGAGAUUCCAGACUGCACGUGCCUAUUGUCGUCUGUUGCUUCACCUGACACGUGGCAAUUUUCAAUUCCCCAGUUCGUACGAUGUGGACUGCUUGACUUUUUCAUGAGAUACUUGACAGAGGAGGUAACCCUAAUCGAAUCCCCUUUGCCUAGCAGCGUCUGUUGUUUUAUCCUUUUUAAUUAGAGCGCAUGAUUGCGAGCGAACGAGUGUUAGGCAAUAUGAACAUAUUUAAUAAAUUAAAAAGGUUGUUGUAUCUGUCGGUUAAAAUAUGAAUAAACCACGGUAAAAAAUGUAACGACACGAUAACGUAUAUAAGACGUGACAAAACUUAUUUCGAAAAAUUAUGAAAAUAUCAUGCGACAAACAUUUUUUUUGUUUCGUAUAUAUACGUAUAUAAGACGUGACAAAACUUAUUUCGAAAAAUUAUGAAAAUAUCAUGCGACAAACAUUUUUUCUGUUUCAGACUACUUCUUUCUCAAGAUAAAGUGUGUUGCCUACCCUCGUGCGUUGCUGUUAUCAGCAAAAAACACGAAUCUCUUCCUAAAUUCAUUUAUAAACAAAAAUAGCUUUAAAAAUCUGUAUAAAGCUUACAAUAUUAACUAUAUAUAUAUAUAUUACUGAACUAUAUAAUAUACUUAAUACAACAUAAUAAAACUGUACUUAAUAUAAUAAUAUAAUAACUACUAUAUAUACUAUAUAAUGUUACUUGACGAUGUGUCCGUGUUAUUUUAAUAUAUUUUAUACUUUUUCCAGGUAUUGUAUAUAAUACAUUGGCAUUAUGAGGAAGGAGAAGUGAGAAGUUAGGCAAAAUAUGGGAAGGAAGUUAUGAAAAAGCCUUUGUUCAAAAGAUAUGUGGCAAAGACAAGGUAUAUGAAAAUGACAGGAGUAAAGUACAAAGAAGUAAAAUACGAAAUAAAAUACAGGACUUUCUUAUUGAGGAAGGGGCGAUGAUUGUGUAUGUAAGGGUACAUUUCACUGAUUUUGAGGAAAUUUAGGAUGCUCUGUGAUAAAAUCGACUUCUCGAACAUCGAGGGUGGUUCGGUACUGGAGUCGGGAUAUAAAAGCGAAGGUGCAGUUUCUAGAUCCGAAAGAGUGGGUCAAGUGAUAUCGACCAUGCAGAAGCAGAAGAGAUAUAGGAAGAUUCGGUUUCGCGAUUCAUUCUGGGAGUAUCUUUGUUUAGCCUGAACAGCCAACUGCUAUAUUUGCUCUUUGUCGUACUAUAGCGUGUCGUCUACCAGACGAGACAGACCAACUAUAUUUGUCUAUGCUUUCUGUUGACCUAUAGCAAACGUGGCAGCGACGCAAUUCGUUGCUCAACCAUUAAUAGCUUUUCCCGUAUUCAGCCUUUUUCAUCUUUGACGUCAGCAUUGGCCAUGUCUUGCCGGAUGAACUUGCACGAAGAAUGCAUUUUAUUUAAGACGACGAAUGAUUCGUCUCGAGUACACGAGUCAUGCGAAAGUCGUAUACGAAUCAGAACACAAAUCUAGAAUGUGAGAAAUGAUUUAUGUUCGUUAAUUAUCUAGAUACCGUUUCAAUUUAUAAACGGAUUCUGGCUUUACCAUACAAUCAGCGAUUGAUUCGUUCAUUUACGUUUCUUAAUUACUUGUCCAAAUCCGUGAUAAAUUAACCACGCGAAUGGAAAAUUUCUGUGAAAAUUUUGUGAGUAAAAUUCUUUAAACGAAUAUUUGAUUCCCAUAUAGUACAUCAAAGUUUUGAGAAAGAUUUCUAGUAAUAAUAGUAAUUCGGGUUUAAUAAUAAUUUUUGAAACACUUAACGGUUUUAAGAUAAUCAAGUUUUUAAACAAAAAAUGUUUUUACAUUCUAAUAAAAUUAUUUAUUCAAUGAAGAGCACGUAAAUAGUCUUCCUAAAAGAAUGUUAUAGAAAGUAUUGCGAAUUAUAAAAUAUAUAAAUGUAACUUCUAGGGAAAUAGCAUAAAAUUACUCUAUUUAAGAACAAUUACGCUAUAUUAGACAAUAACCCGAUAGAGUUUGUUAUAUUACUCGGUUUGUCGCCUUUCAAGAAGGUGUUUAUAAAAGUCUCACAAUAAAAGAAUUUUAAAUAUAGUACAGAUGUACGCAUUAUCUUCUUUCUCAAAUGGAAUCAUGAAAAAUAUUGAAUUUGUCGAACAUUUCAUAUACGAGCAUUGUGUUUUUCAAUAUUCAUUUAUUUCCAAUCGUGAUACACAGCUAGGUAUCCGUAUAAAUCAUAAAGAUAAGAUAAUAUCAAAAACGAAUAUCGCUCUAGUAGUAACAUUAAGAAAAGCGAGGCAAAGCAUAAACUUUAUAAAUUUUAUCGAAACCAUCCUCUGUACUAAAAUUCCAUCCCUUUUUUAAUAUAAUUGUGCUGAAUAAUACUAUACAUAGCAUACGUUAAUUCAUUCAUUGUUAUGCACAACAACGAUUACAAUCUAUAACGCGAGGUUUAUGCGUUUUAUAGUGUUUCGUUUGCGAGGUCAUACGCCUUUCCACCUUCAUUGAUGCGAUCCUCGACC